rnacentral:rRNA from 1 species
GACGAACCGUGCGAACGUUAUUCGGAAUAACUGGGCGUAAAGGGAGCGUAGGCGGGCUAUCAAGUCUGGGGUGAAAUCCCACGGCUCAACCGUGGAACUGCCUUAGAUACUGACGGCCUCGAGGGAGAUAGGGGCAUGCGGAACUGUAGGUGGAGCGGUGAAAUGCGUUGAUAUCUACAGGAACUCCGGUGGCGAAAGCGGCGUGCUGGAUCUCUUCUGACGCUGAGGCUCGAAAGCUAGGGGAGCAAACGGG